rnacentral:rRNA from 1 species
UCUACGGGAGGCAGCAGUGGGGAAUAUUGCACAAUGGGGGAAACCCUGAUGCAGCGACGCCGCGUGAGCGAUGAAGUAUUUCGGGAUGUAAAGCCCUAUCAGCCGGGAAGAAAAUGACGGUACCUGACUCAGCAGCCCCGGCUAACUACGUGCCAGCAGCCGCGGUAAUACGUAGGGGGCACGCGUUAUCCGGAUUGACUGGGGGUAAAGGGAGCGUAGACGGCUUUGCAAGCCCGAUGUGAAGGGCUGGGGCUCAACCCCAGGACUGCAGUUGGAACUGGCAUGCUAGAGUGUCGGAGAGGCAGGCGGAAUGCGUGGUGUAGCGGUGAAAUGCGUAGAUAUUAGGAGGAACACCAGUGGCGAAGGCGGCCUGCUGGAGGAUGACUGACGUUGAGGCACGAAAGCGUGGGGAGCGAACAGGAUUAGAUACCCGGGUAGUC